UCGGGAAUUUUGGGCAAUGGGCGAAAGCCUGACCCAGCAACGCCGCGUGAAGGAUGAAGUAUUUCGGUAUGUAAACUUCGAAAGAAUAGGAAGAAUAAAUGACGGUACUAUUUAUAAGGUCCGGCUAACUACGUGCCAGCAGCCGCGGUAAUACGUAGGGACCAAGCGUUGUUCGGAUUUACUGGGCGUAAAGGGCGCGUAGGCGGCAAUUCAAGUCAUCUGUGAAAUCUCCGGGCUUAACUCGGAACGGUCAGAUGAUACUGCUUUGCUAGAGUGCAGAAGGGGCAAUCGGAAUUCUUGGUGUAGCGGUGAAAUGCGUAGAUAUCAAGAGGAACACCUGAGGUGAAGACGGGUUGCUGGGCUGACACUGACGCUGAGGCGCGAAAGCCAGGGGAGCAAACGGGAUU
rnacentral:rRNA from 1 species